rnacentral:rRNA from 1 species
AUACGGAGGGUCCAAGCGUUAUCCGGAAUCAUUGGGUUUAAAGGGUGCGCAGGCGGUUUAAUAAGUCAGUGGUGAAAUCUCGGGGCUCAACCUCGAAACUGCCAUUGAUACUGUUAAACUUGAGUUCAGUUGGAGUAGGCGGAAUGUGUAGUGUAGCGGUGAAAUGCUUAGAUAUUACACAGAACACCGAUAGCGAAGGCAGCUUACUAAACUGAUACUGACGCUGAGGCACGAAAGCGUGGGGAGCGAACAGGAUUAGAAACCCUAGUAGUCC